rnacentral:rRNA from 1 species
AUCGAACGCUGGCGGCAUGCUUUACACAUGCAAUUCGCACGAGUGGCGGACGUGUGAGUAAUGUAUCGGACCCUACCCAGUAGUGGGGGAUAACUGUUCGAAAGGGUAGGUGAUACCGCCUACUAUUCGAACGGACGUUGUGCGAUUAGCUGGUUGGUGGGGUCAAGGCUCACCAAGGCGACGAUCAGUAGCGGGUCUGAGAGGAUGAUGUGCCACACGGGGACGGAGACACGGCCAAGACUCCUACGGUAGGCAGCAGUGGGGAAUUUUGGAAAAUGGGCGCAAACCUGAUCCAGCCAUGCAGCGUGUCUGAAGAAGGCGUUCGGGUUGUAAAGGACUUUUGUCAGGGAAGCGGUACCUGAAGAAUAAGCACCGGCUAACUACGUGCCAGCAGCCGCGGUAAUUC